rnacentral:siRNA from 1 species
AGAAACAGCCUACUGUCUCACGGU